rnacentral:sRNA from 1 species
GUGUGGGCAUUUUAUCAUAGUGCUCGUAAAGCGCAAAGGCAAAUGCAAAAGAAAAUGUGUAAGAAAGAAAGAUCGGAAGUAAAAUUCAACAUAGAAGUGACAAUAACUGUUAGAAGAUAACGUUAGUUUUGCGGCAGGCCAAAAAUGUUGUGUUUUAUUAUAUUUAUUAAAUCAAUUCAACAACUAAAAUGGUUCAAAGUCCAAGACAAUUGGAACUGUAUGAAAAAAAAACUGUAUCCGUAACGAUGGCACUUGAAAAUGUUUAAACUGCACAUGAGAUUUCCAUAAAUUAUGCGACCUGUCAUUUACAAGGAGCAAAACAAUAUACUGGACAGUUGAAGUCUGAAAUGAAAUGCACACAAAAACGUUGCCGCCAAGUUGCAAGCAGACGCCAAGCCGCAUCCAAGCCGUUCGUUCAUGUGAAGCCUCUGUUUAUGGCGGUUUUCGCACCCGUGGCGCUCGGACGGCGGCUGGCUAACGUGACUUGACCUCGACCUGUCCCGUCUUCUCAUGCUCAGGGCAAUACAACGUUCGAAUAACCAAAUGCUCGGCGUAUUAUUUAUGUGCAUUGAACGCGAAACACUUAGAACUAGACACUAAGCAAUAUCUAUGCAGACGUAGAACUGGGCAGCGAAUAAGCGACAAUAGUCUCCGUGGCUGGGCACGAUUACAUCUUUAUACUCUGAACCGUAUAGAUGUGUAUCGUCUGAUAGCUGCGUGUUAAAUUCCAGCUAAGCCAUGCACCGCGGUCAACAAUUGCAGGCAGCCACAAAGUCACAAAGCCACAAUAUGCGACUUGUGUUAAGUCAACGGGUUUGUCAAACUGCCGACAGAAACACGGCUUCGAUUCGAUUAGACGCCGGCAUGGCACCUUGACAAGCCUGCAAACAUCUUCAAAUGGCAAUUGGCAAUCGAAGAUGAUGACGCUAAUAGUGCCAGAGCUGGUGCUGGUGCUGGUGCCGCCGCUUCUUCUGCUGGAGGUGGCGCUGAAGCUGUGACUGGAGUUGAAGUUACCUAUGUGAGACUCUGUGUUUCUAUGCUGGGCGUGCGCGACUAGACAGUUACCCUGUGCCCAGAAACAGGAACAGGAACUUCCGAAAGCCGAAUAGAGUUGAAGUUAUCUAUGUGAGACUCUGUGUUUCUAUGCUGGGCGUGCGCGACUAGACAGUUACCCUGUGCCCAGGAACAGGAACAGGAACUUCCGCAAGCCGAAUAGAGCUUGGUUUAAUCCUUGAUUUAGAAUUGCCAGCCAUAUUAAGAGGCUCUUUUCUUCUGCUGUGCUGCUGAACAAGGACUAAGGCAAACCCUUAGAUUGUAAUUAAACUAUGCUGAUUAUGCAACUCAAGCAUAUUACAAUUCUCAACUGGUUCACUGGCGCGGGAAUUGCAUCGAUCAGCGCAUCAGAGGAAAAUGUCAAGCACGCUAACCCAGCAGAAGUACAUAAUUAGUCAAUGCAAAAAAGCAGAAAGGCGAAAAGCCACCAGCGCAGCAGACACCUGAACAUGUCAAGGCUUUGAAUAUGUUUGCGGAGGCAAAGCCGAUGUCAAUGGGUUAUGUGUACUACAACUAAGUCAGAGCGCGAGCGCGAUCGCGAUCGCGAUCGGCGUCUAUUUAAGGAGACCGUCGAGGUCAGCUGCUGCUUGUUUGUAGCCAUUGUGAUUGUGGCAGCGAGUACGAGAACGUUGCACGCAACAGCCUCCGCACCGAGACGGGCCGAUGACUAAGGCUAACCACCGGCCACAGGUGAGCAAGCGGCCAAGCGGCCAAGCGACCAAGCGGCUGACUGGACUGACUA